rnacentral:lncRNA from 1 species
UCCCUAUGGAUAUUGGGGUUGUCUGAGGGAAGAGGGAAACGGGGCCCUUGGUCUCUAGGGACACCAGGGGCACCAUGGGCCUCUGAGCAGGGAUAUUGGGGGGUCUCUAGGGAUAUCAGCAGUCUUUUGGGGAGAGCUGUCGAGAUGGUGCCAUCAAUGAAUUUUCUUUUAUAGUUCCAAGAAAUAGGUGUCUCUUGGCAGCUGAUCUCUUCACAAGUGACAGUGCAAAGUGACCUGCUUCCUCGUGGCUGCUGCGUGCGUCUUCCUUUUCCUUGCGAAUUCUGCGAGAAAAGGGACAUCGACGUCCCCUGGGAAAAGGGAUAAAUAGGGAGAGGGAAUUUGGGAGGCUGUUUGGUGGGCAAGAGAGUUUUGAGGAAGCAGAGAGCCCUGCAGGAAGGGGUUUGUGCUGGGCGAAUUGCUGCCCUGAAUCGCUGCCCUCAGCGCCAGGCUGACACCUGCGCAGGACAUUCCUCGUCCCCCUCGCCGACCUGCGCGCUUGCUGACGUUUUCCAGGGGCACCGGCAUGGAUCGCAGCAGCAUGAGCUGCGCCGACGCUGCCGCCCGCCUGCCUGCGGGACCGCGCAGUGCUGGCGUGAGGCCCGGCCGCGUCAAGCGCCGCAAAACCAAGCGGGAGCGCGACUCCGCCAAAUUCGGCCAGAAGGUCGCYGGAGCCAGGCGGCUGGAGCCCAGGAUUCCGUGGAGGGUGGUGCCAGUGCCGCCGCUGCCUGUCCGGGGCUGCCGCUGUGCUGGCCGGCCCCUCCGCAGCCCCGUUUCGGCCCCCAAGCCGGUCGUCAUCACCCAGAACCGCCUCAGCCAGCACCUGGGCAUGUUCAACAGGGAGGUGAAGUCCGUUGAUAUUGAGAGGCUGCUGAGCCCCUGCAACGGGCCCGAAACCGCCCCGGCGAGCCCCAGCGGGAAGGACGCCAGGACGGAGCUGCAGCCGCAAGCCGACGUCCCGGCUGCUCCCAGCCCUGCCACGGAUCCCUCGCUGCAGCGCCUCCCUGAGGGGCAGCCGCGGACGGAGCAUGGGAGCGGGGAGCCCUGGCCCGCUGCUGCUCCCACUGCUGAGGAAUCCGUGCCAGCUCGCCCCGAGCCCAGCGCGAGCCGAGCCAAAACACCGACACCCCCAAACAACAAGGAGAACGUGCCCCCGCUAGGUCCGGGGCUGGAGCGCGGGGCAGCCGGCCUGCCCUGGAGGGAGAUAGCUUGCAAGCUCCGAGUGCUGCUGGGCCGCACGCUGGCGUUCCCGGGACGCGAUCUGGUCGGCGAGCGGCGUCAGACCAUCCUCGCUGUCCUGCUCGACAGGCACCGGGCCUACCCUGACCUCUCCGCGCUGCUGGCCCACAAGACCCGGGUGGCGGACGCUGCUCCGCAAGAUUUUGGGAGCCCCGGCACCCCAGAAGAGGAGCUGCUCUUCACUAUGGGGUUGAACGGUGGUGGUGGGAACUCCRAG